rnacentral:lncRNA from 1 species
CACUAACCUUGGCACUGGGUGCCCUGGGCAUUGGAUGAGAAUUUUGUACUCACUGUUGCUGAGGGCAGCCUCCGAACCCACCGUGUAUAUUUAUUGCUUCUUUUCAUUCUCAUCUCCUGCUGGACUCAGGGUGUCCAAAGACACCUCAGGGAAAGAUGCUCCAGGCUGAUGACAAUGGGCGUGGAUGGUCCAGGAGAGGUGGUCACCGCCAGGGUAGAGGUGAAAAGCUAGAUUUGUACCAUUUCCAAGACUAUGGAGUUGCUGGAAACAGUUGCUGUGAAUUCACUGGGACCUUGACCCUCUGCUGCCACUCUGGUUUCAUAGGUACCUCAGGCAUUAGAGCUGCCUAGUGAGAAGAGACCGUCUGCACAGCCUCGGGGCAGAUGAUUUGGGAGGACUAGAGGCAGAGGUGUUGAUCUCACUGUUCCUAGAUCUGCAGAGCUGAUGAUGGAUUUGGGGAAGGCUCCCAUCAUCUUCCUUCCAGGUGAAAUAUUCAGAGUGCUUAUACCUGGAUGUCUCACUACAGAUACUGCAGAAAAGAAUGAGGCCCUGUACAGUUCACAGCAAUAAAGGCUACAUGAAUUGAGUGCCAUGAGGAAGAAAUAAGCAGGCUGAGCUGACCCAGGGAGGCUUCUCAGAGAAGGUGUUUUCAGGAAUCACCCCAAGUCACAAAUGGGAGGCCUCAGCACCCAAGAGGAUGAAAUCAGCCCAGGAUCAUGCCAGCCCGUGCCACCCACAGCCACUGAAGUGCUUGUCUGAGUCUUGCUGGAAACAUGGGCCCAUGUGAGUGAUUAUGAGCCUUGCAGCAGCAGACUCAAAGCUUUCUCUGCUGAGAAGUUUCCAGCAGUUCCAUCAGUGCGAGCCGGGAACUGAUGACCUGAACGACCUGGAGCAUGGUGAGGUCCCUGCUGCUGGGGGUUUUGGGAGAGGCCAGGCUACCUCUCUGAGCUGCUGGCAAGCGAUUCUGAGUUUGGGGCAGAGGGCAUGCCCCCAUGACCUUCCAUUUGGGCUGAUGCGCCCAGCUCUGACCCUACCGAGUCAGCUCCUGUCUGUAUGUUCCCAACUUUAAAAGCCAGGCUCUCACUUUUCCUCUGCCUUUUUGCUUUU